GAUUAUUCAAGUAAUAUCAAUGCAACAUUAACUUGUAAUACUGCAUUUAAAGUUCCUUUGAUGGAAUGUUCUGCUGUGAGUGAACAUUACCUGUUUCAGUAUUCUAGGUUAGACUGUUACACACAUUGAUGAUGCUCUUUGAAUGACUAUAUAAAAUGCAAUACAUGAUUUCACAACUACAUAAGCCAAGUUCCACAGAGGAAAACUUUUUGUGACAGAAAAGGCAGGGUAUUGCAUUCCAGAUAAAUUUAAGAAUGCAACUAAAAUUUAAACAAAGUAUGUAAGGCUGACAGCUACUGCAGAUGGAUAAACUCUAACCAAGUUUCAACCUUAAUAAAGUUGAAAAAAAAAAAAGAUGACCAAAAUUCUGAUAAGAAAAAGAAGUUGGGAGUGCUAAUGACGUAGUUGCUCUGAAGCUUAUCCAGAACAAAAGAAGAGCAGCAUCAUAAUCAACCAUAAGAAAAAACCUAUUUGAGUAACUAUAAGCCAGCCUUAUUAGGACAACAACCUUGGGCGAAGUGUCAGCAGAAUUGCAUUCUCUCUCUCUCUCCUCUCAUGCUUUGUGGAUUUUAUCAUAGUAUGAUUGAUGGUUUUCCACAGGUAACUUCUGGCAUUUAAAUAUGGAGCUCCAAGCGGUGGAUCUUUCAUUACCGGGGGAAUGCAUAGCAGGGAGCUGCCCAAGUUUUUUCGCAAAUACUUUGGAUAGACAUGGAAGCAAUGGUCAGAUAAUGUGCACAAUAAUGCCUUGUCUGGAAGUUCUGAAUCUUUGAACAUUUUGUUGGAGCUUGGUGGAGAUUUCGACAGUCAUGGAAUGAACCUGCAAUAUGGUCCCUUUUUCCGGGAUCUGCUGCAUUACCUCCUUUAUUUCCCAGUCUUCCCUUGUCACCUCAGUUAUGGAAAAAAACCCAUGGGGAGGUACGUCUGAAGCCCUUCAGUUCCAUCAGAAUACAAUUCUCAACUAACAUACAUGUGUUGACUGGGGAGCACAUGCGUACCAUGCAAAUGAUCCCACUUUCUCCGUUGCUGCUUUCAGAGGAGAGAAAAGGAAACCCCGAGGGACCGGAACGUACAUCCCAAAUCCGGUAGUGACAAUUUUGUUUUCUAUAUAAUCAUUUUUUCAGACUGCAUUCCUGUAAUUUUAUAUUCAUGAGCUUUAUAUUUUUGGGUUUAUUUUUCUAUGAAGUCAUUCUCAGCAGAGGACUAGUCCUGGUUUUCAUAAUCUCAUGGUCAUCUUAUUACAGUCUUUUCAGAAUUACCGUUCCUUAAAGGAUAGGUUGCCUGGAAGGGGAAGGAAACAGACACCAGGAAUUUGUUUUCCAUUUCAGAGACACGCCUUUGAUUAUGGCUUCACUGUAGCUCCUCAAGAGUCAGUCUCACCUAGAGAAUGAAGCCGAGAGCUCUCAGAAGCGGAGUACCCAGUUUUUAAGUCAUGGAAACUCCAACAUUAGAUUACCAUUAACCUCACAUUCCUUUUUGGGAAUCUUUUCAUGACAACAGUUUCUCCAACUUGCAAGCGAAACUCAACUCUAGAUCCUCAUCCCUUCAGUUAAGGAGGAGGCACCCAUGCCAGAAUUGAAUCAUCAAGCAAAGUUGUUUGGAGCCGAUGAGGAGAGGUAGUUGGAUUUGGUAAUUUGAAGUAGUCCUCCUGCACAAUAGCUUUUCUUCAAAAGCUAAAGUUCUCUUGUUGAUGUCCACCACUCACCCCUCAAGUGCCGUUGAAGGAAGGAUUAUGCAUUGGAGAAUGAAGACGCUUAUGACGGUAGGUGCUAAUACACUAGACUGAGCUUCCGGCAAGACUUGUUCCUCUCAGCCUCGAUAACCUUGGGGACCUCUGUUGUUGGUAGUUUCGAUGUAGAAUACAUAUGUUGUACAUGCUGAUUCCUUUUCUUUUUCGUUUCAUAUCUAUGCGCACAUUUGUGCGCUUUCAUUGGGUUGGGUGGCUGAUGUAUAUACGGGGCAAAGUUUGCCCCUCGGCUUGUCAUUCCCCUCCCAAAGUUUCUAGUUCUAAACACACUACUGAGAAACCUUUGUCAGGUAUUUCGGCUAGAACUGGUUAGCAUACACAUGAUGAGAUAUAUAAAUGUAACCAGGAAAAUUUUGGUUAUGUUUAGGUUUUUUUUCGGUCAGAAUGUUACUAUGAAUUGAUGAAAGUUUAUUUUGGUCAAGUUCAUUUGUUUUAAGUGAAGUCGUGAUAGUUGCAGGUCUGAGUUUAAUCAAGUUUCCUAGAAAAAUGUGUUUUAUCUUCUCAGUAAUCGAGUUUGAACACUCUCCGAAAUUUAGGUUUUAUAUUAACUUAGAAUAUUUGUACUAAAAAAAUGAAUCAGCUACAAGGGUUACCAUCUAGGAACCCUGUGAUUGACACAAGAUGAAUAAAAUUGUAGCAUGUAAGGGCUCGUUUGGUGCCUCGAUUCAAUUGGAUAAUAAGGUUGAGGUGAAUGAUUUUUCAUUUCUGAGGAGGAUUUGAAAUGGUUAGACAUGAAGGAGACUCUUCAAAUCCUACCGAUUGUUUGAUUGUUUGCUCCUAAAAUCCUACGUUUUUGUGAGAAUUUAUUAAGUAAUUCUUCUACCCUCAUGUUGGACAAAGUCAUUCAUUUCUUCCUUCAGCACGUCUUGAGAUAUCCAAUCCAAUCUAAUCCCACCAAAUCAGCCCUAAAAUGAUAAAUCCACCAACUAUAUCCCUUGAGGGGUACCUGAUCCAGUUUGUAGCUGAGGGAUAAGUAUGAACAUGCAAACCGAAUCCAUCAUAGGGCACCAGUGGUCUAGUGGUAGAAUAGUACCCUGCCACGGUACAGACCCGGGUUCGAUUCCCGGCUGGUGCAUACCUUUUUUCCUUUUUUUUUUCUUUUUCAGAAAAGAGAUUUACCUGUGACCUUUAUUUUAUUUUAUUAUUAUUUUUUUCAAAAAAGAACCUAAUGAAAAGGAUAGUUUUGUCCACUCCAGAAUCCAUAUUUCCAACCACACGGUCUCCCGCCAACCUGACGACGUGGCAAUCGACUUUUGGGAAGAAACCAAUUAAGUAGGAAGAAGAGGGAAUAGGAUCAUUUCUUGAGAUUUGGAUGAUCAAUCAAUCAUUUCUGUUUAUAGUAUAUAUAUGCGGUUAAAAUUUAUUUAAAAUUUAAAAUUUAAAAUUAAAUAUAAAUAGUAUCUAACGAAAAUUGGUUGCACAAUGUAUGAUGAACGGAUACAAUUAAGUUGUUUUGUCCCUCACAUUAUUUAUUCUUAAUUUAAUUAUUAAUUAUUAUAAAAAGACUAUAUGUUUAAACUUGAACCGUAUAUUAUUAUUAUUAUAUUCUUUAUCAAAUUGGCUGAAUUCAUUUGAUCUGUCCAUUUCAUGCUUCCUCCUUCCUUCAACAUCACAAUAUGCCUUUCAACGGCCUCUGCGGAUAUCAUCCACCACUAACAAAAUGUGGGCGGCUUAACACCCCACAUUUACAAAUUACAAUUCAAUAAGAUAAACAAAUCACAUUUCUGAAUUGUGUGCGUACGCGCAGAUUAAUUAACUCACGAGGAGGUCAUAGUACGAGAGAGGUAGAUGAACUCUAUCAAGAAUUUGUUCGUAUUGAUCUCGUAUUAGUUAUCACGUAUGAUAAAUAAUGAAUUUCUUUGUCAAGUUUAUUUACCUAUUGUAAACAUGAUCGUUAUGCAGGUUGGUAUAUGUAUGUGUGUGUGUGUGUAUUCCUGUGUAAGUGUAAAACUCGUACGAAAAUCUAUGCAGGCGACAUUGACACCCCCAAGUCUUCCUACAGUAUUAGAGCCACAGUUUGUCGUAGCAAAUUACUCAAUCAACAGAUAAACACCAAGGAAAGGAUUAUCUCUGGAUCUCUUCCUUCUAAUCCACCAAAUCAGGGGAUCUGUGUUGCUCAAAAUCUGAUCCAACGGCUACAAACAAGGACCCACUUUAAAAAUUAUAAUAACUUCAACCGUUUGAUCAAAUUUAAACUGCACGGAUCCUCUGGUUUGGUGGAUUAGGAGGAAGGAAUCCAGAGAUGAUCACUUUCCAAACACCAAUGGCAGGCAUAAAACUUGUCUUAUUGUACCUGUUCAUCUUCAUCCUAAUUUUUGUUGGGGAUGUGCUAUNNNNNNNNNNNNNNNNNNNNNNNNNNNNNNNNNNNNNNNNNNNNNNNNNNNNNNNNNNNNNNNNNNNNNNNNNNNNNNNNNNNNNNNNNNNNNNNNNNNNNNNNNNNNNNNNNNNNNNNNNNNNNNNNNNNNNNNNNNNNNNNNNNNNNNNNNNNNNNNNNNNNNNNNNNNNNNNNNNNNNNNNNNNNNNNNNNNNNNNNNNNNNNNNNNNNNNNNNNNNNNNNNNNNNNNNNNNNNNNNNNNNNNNNNNNNNNNNNNNNNNNNNNNNNNNNNNNNNNNNNNNNNNNNNNNNNNNNNNNNNNNNNNNNNNNNNNNNNNNNNNNNNNNNNNNNNNNNNNNNNNNNNNNNNNNNNNNNNNNNNNNNNNNNNNNNNNNNNNNNNNNNNNNNNNNNNNNNNNNNNNNNNNNNNNNNNNNNNNNNNNNNNNNNNNNNNNNNNNNNNNNNNNNNNNNNNNNNNNNNNNNNNNNNNNNNNNNNNNNNNNNNNNNNNNNNNNNNNNNNUUUAUGUAGUAAGAGCAUGAAAAUAAACCUGAGGGAGUAAUGUACCAAGUCAUUUGUUAAAUUUUGAGGUUGUAAUAAGUUUCUGCUGUGCAGCCUAGCUGUAAAUCCAGAAAUGAUAUAGUGUUCUGAUUACCUCAAAUCCUUUGCAAUUCUUAUUUCCUUGAUCGAAAAAAUGUGCAUUAUUUGUUACAUACGAAGUAACACUUCACCGAAGAAAGGUGGAAGUUGAGCUUCCACCGCCUUGAAAGCAAUUGGCGGUAGAAGUUGUCCAACUACUCAUAAACCACAUAUAAGGUCUCUUUAACUUUCCGACAUGAGACAACACUUUGCAGUCUCUCAAUUAGAAAACAAUCUCUCUUCACGAUUUCAAUGUUUCGAUGUUACAGGAGCAUGUCCGAUAUAUAUGAAAGCUACAAUAUUACCAAGCCUUGGUUUGGCACGAGAAAGAUGCAAACUUCAAACCUGCUAAAGUGGCUUCUUUUGUCACUUCCACGCUGCUCACUAAGACCGCAGAUUAUCACGCUAGAGUGAUUCACACCGACCACGUGUUGUUUCUAAUCCACGUGUUAUAAUACAAACAGGCAAACAACUAGUAAGCCUAAUGCAUCCAUUCCAGAGUCGCUCCAAAAGUCCACAUGUUCUCAAGCCAUGCAAGCAUUUCUGCUGAAUUUUCAGAUUGACAGUAAAUUAAGCAAAACUGUUGUAAAAUCAACCCUACAUUAUACUUUGGCAAUGCUUCAACAAAAACAAAAUAGUAACAGAACAAAAAUAUUACAAUCAAAUAAUUUACUGAAACAAAAAUUCAGUUUUACAUUCAUUCAGUAUAUAGUUAUUCAAAAUAGAACAUGCACGUUACGCAAUCUUAUGCAAACGGUUUGUAUAAAUAAUUAGUUCAGCGGUCAGUGUACCAAUUAACUAAAAUAUGGUCUGCAAGAACAUGCUUCUUCCCCUAAUCACUAAGGGAAGCUCACUACAAGAUCCUGAGAUAGGCUCGAAGACCACCUUUAGUGUAGAAGAAUCACCUGGUACAGAUAUAGCUCCCGAUUUUUAAACUCAUGGAAAGAAAUAGGACCCAGAAAAACAUAAACAAAAACCAGCCCCGCAUCACCACACAUCCCGUCUUUCCAGAGAGUGAGCCACCAACUGGCACCAGAUUGCCAGAGUUUCCGUCAUCCUGUGACAGCUGAACAGAAAAGACAAGGUUGACAACCCCAUCCUUUCCAAAAGACCAGUCCAUCCUGUUGUCACUUGAAGUUAUGUCUCUAAUUCUAAUCAUGGCAGCAGUGACAUGAACCGAACUGGAAGAUGCUGCACCAGAAUUUAACCUACGCAUUGCCUCUUUACCAGGGAACUCCGAAGCAAAUGCAGGUGGAGCAGGUAUGCUGCCCAACAUCAUGUGACUUGCCUUUUUGAUGAAGGGGUAGUUACCAUCUGCACCACGAAAAUCGCACACAAACCAGAAGGUGAGAUAAAGACAGCCAUUGACAGCAACAGAAAGUUACUAAUCUAAAGGAUAAGUUACUAAUUGGGGUAUGAUAGCACCUUUGAUAGCUGAAAUAAGAUACUAUACCUGACUCAAACUUGAACUCCGCCGUUUUCUUUGACGAAGAUGCAGAUGCAUCAUCAGUAUCCACUGGUUGUACAAGAUGUUCGCCUCCCAAUGGCUGUGGCUCUGGUUGUACAUGUUCACCUCCCAUUGGUUGUGGCUCGGUCUCACCAUUCACAAGCUGCUAUACAACAGUUUAUCAAAUGAAAGAUGCUACUUAAACUCCAGAAAUACAAAAGGAAAAUGAAACUUGAGAAGCUUGUACCUUCUGGUCAGCUGGAGCUUCGUCAGGAACAUAGUUUUCAACCCCCAUCAUUCCACAUGAAUCGAAAUCAAUAUACUGAGAGAUGUCAUCAUUGGCAUCAAAGUAUGUAAGGUACUCAUCAAGCAUGUCAAAACCUGCAGUUGACUCGACUGGAUUUGAAAGAUCAUUAGCUUCAAGGAAUAACCCAUCACCAAUUGGCGUAUUCUCCGUAGCAUUCAAAUACGGUUCAUUAAGUGAGUAAUUGACAACAGCUGGAUUUGCAUCAUCGCUUGGUUCAAGAAAGCAUUCAUCUUUGACUGAUUUUGCAUCAGCCUCAUAGUGCUCUGGCAAGUCAACAAACUUUAGGUCCUCAGGACUUUGUGAGGUCAUAUAUUCAUUUUUUACUGGAUUUCCAACCAUCUCAUGAUGCUCUGGGUAGUUAAAGAACAUCUGGUCUCCACGGUAUUCCAAAGUUUCCCCAGUGCCUAUCACAGCCUUUGUAUCAUCUUCAACAAAGUCCCCAGAAUGCUCAAUGUAGUGGCUCGUCUCCCCAUAAUAGAAGUUCGAUGGAGGAGGUGCACUUUCAGAUGGAAUUCCUGUGUCAAGAUUCUGGGAAAGAAAGAUUUUAUAAAUAAAAAGUAUUUAUAACUGUACAAUAUCAAAGCAUGACCUAGUAGAUCAUGUGAAAUACUACAAAGGUGAAUCAAAGACUAAACUGACAGAAAAUGGAGGCCCCUGCCAUAUAAUAUAUUUAUAUACCUAAUCAAUCUAUAUGCUACUAUUUAUGAAAACCCUAUUGUCAACCAAAGAUGGUGAACGUCAAUUAAACCCUCUUUAAAUUAAAUAGUUGAGUAAUAUGUGCAUAAAUAUAGUAAUUUAAUAUAAAAAAUUAGAUCAUAUGCAAAGAAUGUGUAAAAUAGAACGAAUAAGAUCAAGAUGAUGGAGAUGCCCAUGAACAGAUGGAAAAAGGUAGCAGAAGUUUUCAUUUCUACUUUGCCGUCGUAUAAAGGUUCAGAUGUAAAGAUUAAUCAUCUUGAUAUUUUCUAUCAUGAGUAAUGCAUUAUUCUAGAUCACAAAGAUCUUUUCAAUCUCUCAACUACAGCAUCAACUCAGUUCCUUUAGUUCGAAGUGUUGUACUUUUAUGCGCAAACGGAAGCGAAUUAUAACAAAGUACCAAAUAUCAAUGUCGUAGGCGAAAGCUAAAACAAACAAUCUCAAACUGACACAAGAGAUUUACGUGGUUCGGCGUAAAGCCUACUCCACGGGCGAAGCACGGCGAGGAAUUUCACUAAACAAACGGAAAUUACAAAAGAGUGUUUAAACUCUCACAACCCAAAUCCCACAAAUUACAAACCCUAAACCAAAUGAGUAGAGAACUCAAACCUAACGGAGAAGAUUCUCCCAAAUUGCUCUCUAACUUACAAACUCACAAAUUGACUCUCACCAAAUUGCCACACGAAUGAGCCACACUAAAUACACUAACCCUAAGGUCCUAUUUAUAGUGCAUAGGACUUAGGUUACAAUAGGAAUCCUAAUAAUAGGAAAUAAUCCAAAUCCUAAUCAAAUAGGUAAUUAACAAAAUCUCUUCACCAAGAAACUAAACUAACUAAAGGCCUCGUUUGGCAGCUCGGACUGUACUGACUAUUUCUGUCGGAUAGGAUAAAUAGCCACCGGAUAGUACUACUAGACGGAUAAAUAGUAGAUUAGCGUCGUCGUUUGGUGCAGUAUCGGAUUAAUGACCGUAUUAUUUAUACUGUGUUUGGUAUUGAACCGGAUAGGACAAGAGAAAAAAAAAAAUAACAAAUCUUUCUUAGCUUUUAGACUCUAAUAUAAUGCUUUAUUGAUUCGUAUAAAGAUACAAGCAACUUUGGUACUAAUUUUGAGUUAAGUUUCCUGCCUUGUGUUUGUUAAUUUGAUAUUAUUUUUUUUUCCAUUCUAAUUUGGCCUCUGUGGUUGUCACGUAUAUAUUCACACAUAUCUAUAUCCAGAUAAAAAUUCCAAUCAACAAUUCAACAACCCUAGUCCGAAAUUCAACAAUUCAAUGCCAAUCAACAAUUCAACAACCCUAGUCCGAAAUUAUUCACACAUAUAUAUAUCCAGAUAAAAAGUCAAAUUCACAUAAAAAUUAAAAAAAUGGAUAGAGUGAUGUAAAACACAAAUUUACAUAAUCAAUUGCAUAAUUAGAGAGAAAAUAAUAAAUAGAUUCAAUCAAUUGCAAGAAAAAUAGGAGGGGGAAGAAUAGAGGGAGGGCGGAAUCCCAGAAGAAGAAAAUUGAAAAGACGAAAAUGUGAUUCAAACGAAGAAGAAGACUGUGAGAAGACAUACCUGGGAUGAGAGCAAGAUGGCGUCUGGAGAGGAAGAGAAUGAAACGCUGCGUUAAGAGGUUGCGGUGGUGGUGGUGGGGGGAAUCGAAAUUUUGGGGAAAGAAUGGGGAAGUUGAGGGAAAUAGGAUGAUGGUCUUUCAAAAAAGGGAACUGUGGGAUUUUGCUAAAUUUUUGGUUCGAAGAUUUUUGUCAGAUCUGGUGGAAAAUGGAAAAAUGAAAAGAAAUGGAAGGAGGGUAAAACGGAAGAUUGCAUCGGGAGAGAAAGCGAAAGAUUGCGUCGGGAGACAAGAGAGCCCGACUAAUUAUACCGUGAAAAUGGAUGGUAUAAGCAAGCGGGUACACACCGUGUAAAAAAGGUGGGCCCGGAUUAUUUAAUCCGGUGCUUAUUUAAUCCGAACUGUCACCAAACACCGUACACCGUAUUAUUAAUACUAUCCGAUCCGUUAUACGGUGUGCCAAACAGGGCCUAAGAAGUCAAAAAACCAAACCCAAAUAGGACACCAAAACCAAAUAGGUAACACAAACCUAAUUUAUUGCAUCAUCCUAAUUUUGAGCCAAAAACCCAACACGAAGAUGCUUUUCAUGGCACCGGCCAGGACCAAGAAUACUUUGAAAUUCAUUACGUUAUUCUACGAUGUCGUCCAAAUUUCAAUUUGUCCCUGUUGAGGAUAAGAUCUAUGAACUAGUUAAGAGUAUCACGUGACAAUAACAGACAAAAAUUACAGCGUGCAUUGAACUUAGAAUAAGGGGACAUCUAAUAGGUUAGAGGAGAUAUCAUCAAUAAUUAACAAAUCUCCAGGUCAGAUUGCAACAAUACGGGGUUGAGGUAGAGUGAUGGAGCAUCAGGGAGAGAGGGAGAGUGAGGGAUGGGGAGACAACAGGCAAAUACCCAAAAAAAUGUCCCUCUAAAACACACCAUUUGGAACUCUUUGUCAACGAAGAUCAUCCAGAUCCAUUUUAAAAGGACACCAAGAUUCUACCAACUUUUAGAAAAUUGUAGUCCAUAAAAAAUUAUAACACAUCAAGGUAUGGUGAUUAUUCAAGUAAUAUCAAUGCAACAUUAACUUGUAAUACUGCAUUUAAAGUUCCUUUGAUGGAAUGUUCUGCUGUGAGUGAACAUUACCUGUUUCAGUAUUCUAGGUUAGACUGUUACACACAUUGAUGAUGCUCUUUGAAUGACUAUAUAAAAUGCAAUACAUGAUUUCACAACUACAUAAGCCAAGUUCCACAGAGGAAAACUUUUUGUGACAGAAAAGGCAGGGUAUUGCAUUCCAGAUAAAUUUAAGAAUGCAACUAAAAUUUAAACAAAGUAUGUAAGGCUGACAGCUACUGCAGAUGGAUAAACUCUAACCAAGUUUCAACCUUAAUAAAGUUGAAAAAAAAAAAAGAUGACCAAAAUUCUGAUAAGAAAAAGAAGUUGGGAGUGCUAAUGACGUAGUUGCUCUGAAGCUUAUCCAGAACAAAAGAAGAGCAGCAUCAUAAUCAACCAUAAGAAAAAAAUCCUAUUUGAGUAACUAUAGCAGCCUUAUUAGUUAUUCUUCUGCAUAAGGGGUGAAAUCUAAAUGUGAUACGAACACAUAAUAAGAUACUCUCAUAUUAGUAACAUACCCCCAUACUCUUUGCUGUUUCCUUUGAUCUUAAUAUAAUCGUUUCUUUACCCCAAAAAAAAUACCACUAAACACCUAAAUCAAAGGGGAAUAACAACUUCAUUUGCCGACAUUGGGCUGCCUAUAAAUGCAAAUCUACAACCAACGACCCUUCAACAUGGUCAUGUACACAGCCAGAUUCAAGUUAAAUUCACUUGGCCUAAACUCCAAUAACCGGACACAGUCAACAUAUCUACUUUUGACUUAUCAUAACACAUCGGUAGGUUUCCCACAAGUGGACAGUUAUCUUUAUAUGUAAGACAUUCUAGCCAAAUCUACCCAUCCCCAUAUCAGACAAUUCGUCGACUACAGGACAUGAAAUGAAAAGCUGAAUGAAUUAAGAACCUGAUCAAGGUCAAAUGCUUCAACAUAAGCCCCAUCGUUGACACCAAUUGCUUCCACAUGUGGCUCCACGCUGAGUGCCACUACAUCAGCAGCCGCCUCCUCACCAGGUACACAAGUCACGUCAUCAUCGUCCCAUUCCUCCUCCAUAACCGGUGCGCCAUACUUCUCCCCAUUCUUCGGUCCCGUGCCACUCUUCUGGAAUAUCCUACAAAGCACAUACGGAUCCUUCUGAACCCAUCCGCCACAACAAAACCCAACAAUCAAUCCCAACAUCAUAAAAUGCCAACAGAACAAUAGCAACGUCAACAAAAAUCCAAACCUGUUGAAUUCCAGCUUUCUCCAAUUCCUCAUUGGAAAGGCGAUACUCAUGCAUAACCCAAUUGGUUCUGGCACCGGAGGGGGCUCGCCCGCUAUGGAAAACCAGCGUCUUCUUCAUCCCAACAUCCCGGGAAUUAUGUUUAACCGGACGGUCCUUACCCGUAGUCUUCCAGUACCCUUUUUCAGUAGCCCGAUUCGUCCUAGACGAAUUCCCAUACUUCUUAUCCAGAAAACUGAAAAAGUACCACUCCAAGUCCCUUCAGCUUCGACUUGCCUAGUAAACCGAAAAACAAUAACCCAACAAAAAAAUUCACAAAUGAUACACGUGUAUAUGUAUGUGUAUAUAUAUUUAAAGCAUAAAGGGGUUAAGAUUUUUAACCAGGGAGGUCCCAAGGCUCAGUCUUGUAGAUGUCGACGACCGAGAUGGGGUCGAAUCGGAAGUUCUUGCCGGAGACCUUGCGCUUCAGAUAGUACCAGACUAGUUCUUCAUCGGUUGGGUGGAAUCGGAACCCAGGAGCGAGUGAAUUCUCUUUGCCGCGAGCCAUGGAUUAAUCAAAUCCAGGAAGAAAAAGAAGGAAAAAAAUUGAAAUGUUUUUGUUAGGGUUUCAAAACAGAAUGGAAUCGAAAGAACUGAGAAACGGGAAUCGGGAAUUGGGAACUAGGGUUAGAUUAGGGAUUGGAUUGAAUCGAAAUCGGAGAGCUGAUCGUUGGCAACGAAGGAGGACAGUAGAGGAGCCAUUGGGUAGGUGUGGGAAAGUGCGACCCGGCGUGUCGUUUUGGUAGAGA
rnacentral:lncRNA from 1 species